CUCCCUCGCUGCUGACCUCAGGUUCGAUAAUGCCAAUUAGGCAUCACCUCGCCAAGAACCAACUUCGAUGAAGCGACGGGCGGUGUGUG
rnacentral:rRNA from 1 species